UAAUAACUGGUUACACGCUGACAAUGC
rnacentral:piRNA from 1 species